CAUACACGACACAUAAUCAUUUUAUAAUAUAGAAGUUUCUGAUUUUAAAUGAAAAGUUUGAAAACACAAAGAGUUGAUGAAAACAUGGUCCAGAUCUGGGCAUUCAAUAUCUUCAGUCAGAUAAAUGUCCACUUUCAAGGUUAAGUGAAACACUAUCCCCUGUAAAGCAUGGGAACACCGAAGAAGAGAGUGAGACGUAUGUAGGACCCAGAAGACAGGGUGAAAGGUUUCGAAAAGCCAUUAUGUAGGUUCCCGCAACGAUUCCACGUAUCAACUCACAAUAGCUGUAGUUUCCUGCACUGGGCACACACAAGACUGGCCCUAGGAACAAUAAGCCAAGUGGGAGGGGGAGCUCGUGGGCCCCUCCCUUAGCUCUAAGCUCAAAGCUGUUGGUAGGUUCUGGGAGAGGAAGAAGCACUAUCUGCAAUUCUGGGCCCUGCUCCGAAAUACGGCUCCAGAACCAUGAUCACAUAGCCCCGCGUCAGUUUCACUUGUCAUAAAGCAAACGAAAUAGUCAUGACCACUGUGACGCCAUGAUCUGGGCAGGAGGGGUUUGCGUGAAGAGGGUAUGAAUUGUGUUCAGGUGUGAAUUGUAUAAAAACAGAUUUAAUUGAUAAUAAAAGAUAGAAUAAAAUCUUUUGGUGACUGCCACCUAGUGGUAAAAAUUAUAAUUAAAAGACAAAAAUCACAUUUUCUAAUGUAAUGCUAAAUAUUUAAUGAUGAUAGAUAUACCCUGACUGGAUUUUUUAAAACUAAUUAAUCAUUAAUGAAAUUUGCUAGCUUUGGAAACCUCUUUAGUCACAUGAAGUGGUGUCACACUUGUCCUAGUUCAUUUUGGCACCUUGUCGAAUCUGGGAAUAGGGCAAUUUAAUUUCCUCCAACAGACUGGUCUGCACACACGUCUAUGGAACAUUUUCUUGAUUGCUAGUUGAUGUAGGAGGACUGAGUCCACUGUGGACAUGCCAUCUUGAGGCCGGUGGGCCAAAGCUCUAUAAGAAAGUAGCUGAGCAAGUCCGGGAAGCAUGCAAGGCAGCAGCUUCGCUCCGUGUUAUCAGCUGCAGUUCCUGCCUCCGGGUUCCCACAUUGAGCUCUUGGGUCCCUGCAUGAUGGGUGGAGUGUAACUUGUAAGCCAAACAAACCCUUCCCUCCCCAAGUUGGUCAGUGUUUUAUCACAGCAACAGAGAACUAAACUAGGGCAAUUUCUGCACUAGGGCAAUACUUUACUUCUGCAUCAUAAGAAACAUGACCAUGAAAAGGCCUACCUCUUUUCAUGCUUAUCUUACAAUUUCUGGGGAGUCUGUUUUAUUAAACCUGAAUCUCUAUUUUGAUAUGCUUAUUGGCACAACGUGACUUUCGCCUUGUGUUGAAAUGGUACAGUACACUAUGAUGGAGAAAGAACAAAACGUGGUGUCGAUGAUGGCCAAGAGCAUGAGACUCUAACACUAAAGUUUCAGUGAGUUAUGAGAGGACAAACAAGCGCAUCUUGUCUAUGGUUGCUUUGUUUGUUUGUUUGUUUUUGUUUUUUGAGACAGGGUUUCUCUGUGUAGCCCUGGCUGUCCUGGCAUUACAUAUUUUUGGAAACAGAUGAAUUUGAUUAGAGGGAAAUGUACAGUUUAUAUUGUUGGAACAGAGAGAAACGAGCUACAUAAGUAUCAUUUUAAAGAUUGUAGUAAGUAAACACCUAAACUCACUUUGAAUUAAUACACAAAUGAAAAAAUAGAGGGGAAAAAACAAGAUGCAGAUUUUUUAAAGAUUAAGACAGUUGAUAAGGGUUGAUAAGAUAAAGCAAUUUUAAAAACCCUGUAAAAGCAAACAGGCUUUUAUUAAGUUUCCUAUUUUAAAUGACCACAGCAUCCUGCAUGUGAAAACUUGGGUGCCAUCCUGUGGCACCACUGGGCUGUGGUAGAGUUUCUAGGGUCUGGAACUGAGGGAGAAGUUAGGUUCUUUUGAGAUAUUGAAAGCUUGACUCUCUUCCUCUCCUCACCCCUCAUUGCCGUAGUCCCAUGCUGUAUGUACUGUGUUGUCCAAAGCACUUGUGGCCAGCUGACCAUGGGCUGAAAGCUCUAAAGACUUCAGGUAAAAUAAUGGGCUCUCUCUUUACAUUUACUCUUUCCUUUACUGCAGCAAAGGAACGCUGACUCACAUAGUCCCACACUAAACAACCUUUCAUCUGUGCACCUGUUGUUCCGUCUUCUCGGUCCACAAUCAUCAGACCAGCACAUUCUGUGUCUGCUGAAGAUCUGUUUCUCGUCGAUGGAGUCUUCCAUGUGGCCUCUAGGCUAUCCUCUCAGACUCUCAUGAGAAGGACUGAAACCAUUUAUGUGUGCAGAGCUUCCAUGACUCAUCGCUUCACCAAAGACGCCAACUCUCCUUUUUUUCCCCUCAUUUUUAUUUAUUCUUUGAGAACUUCAUGCAAUGUGUUUAAAUCAUAUUUCUCUUUUCUUCCAUUCCUCCUAGAUAUAGUUCUGUCUUCCCUACCCACCUGACUUUGUGUCCUUUAGAGUCUCCUUAAAGCCCUCAAGUACCAUUUGUGCUGCCCAUUUACUCAAGGAUGUACGGCCUUCACUGAGGCAUGGGCAGCUUACAAAGGGCUUCAUCCUUUAAAAUAAACUGAUUCUCCCUC